GUGCCUGCUUCAGCAGUACAUAUACCAAAAUUAAAACAGCUCAGAGCAUAUUAGCAUGGCCCCUGCAUAGGAUGACACACACAUUCCCCAAAGUGUUCCAUAUUCUU
rnacentral:snRNA from 1 species